CCUUCGUAUCAUUUUGGAUAACUACUUAUAGUACGAGUAGCAAAAUCCCUUUGCCAAACACGGGAGAAAAAGUAAAAAAUUUGUAUGUGCAUCGUUCAACCCAUCUUCCAAAUUUACAUUUCGAUCUUGAAUUGAGGAUCACGUGAAAUGACUCGUGUUAUUCAGGUGGACAUCUUUCAAUUCACGAGGAUCAAUUAGCAGGAGAAAAUAAAAUCAUGGCCGUCUUGGUUAGAGAUUAUUAAUGCAGAAUUUUUGUACCGGAACUGAUGGCGAUGGGGAUUCAUAAAAACUAGUGGUCUCGCUCUGUAAAAGUUACCGCAAUCUGGUUCAUCCGUGCAGUUACUUUUUGCUGUCUCUUUCAAAUGGUUCUCCGUAACUCUUAACUUUUCCCCAAUCUAUUACUGUUUCAGUGGUUUUCUGCUACACUAUGAUGAGGCAAUGCUCCACACUUCCUUUGCAAGGCUUCUUGUCACCCUAACAAGUUACUGUGGUAUAGCUCAGAGUACUGUGUGAUCUGUGUCAGGAGAUAUCUUGCCACACACUCACAUGAGCGAAAUAAUAGUUCAGCACUCCAAAUUUUUCAUGAGCUUGUAAGAGAACUGAAUAACGAAAUUUGUGGACAUUAGGCUUCAGUCUUGGAGCUCUGGUGCGCGGAGGAGUACGAUUUGCUGGCGCUUGCACUGAAUGGAAGAAUGAAGAUUACCAAGUUCCAAGUUUGCUGUUCAAAAGCUUAAAGAUCCGACUUUUACUGAAUCCUUGGGAAGAUAUUGGGUUCUCUUACUUGGAUGACCAAGUGGGAUUCCCUCUUCUUCCUUGAGUUUUAUGUUCAGGUUUCCAUUAGGAACAAUAUGAAUCUCAUAGCCAAACCAAAAAGUUAUUACAUACUGUGAUGUUCAUUUAGUAUAUAGUUUUAUUUUAUUUAAAUGCUUCAGUUUUAGAGGUACUGGGACAGUUGGACUAGCUUUUGAAAGUAUUCGUGACACAUAAAAUAGACAAUAAAUAAAUAUUUAAUAUUAUCCGUACAUUUUCCCAUUUAA